UUUUUCUUUGAUGUGUGAACCGUAACUUCCGUCGUAUCAUCUCCCCUCAAUUCAUAUGACGGAGUAACUCAAAGUGAUCAUGAUGGAUAAUCAAUUCAUCCCACUAUCUCCCCUGCAAUUAAGAUUUCUCACUUUUCCUUUAAACCAAAACGACUAUAUAUAGAUGUCGAGAAGGUGCUCCAGACGAAUCGCAAAGGUUCUUUAAACCGUAGUAUAAACCCUAGAAACAGAGCUUCCACUGAUGACUAUUAACCAGCUUCAUUUUACAAUUUGAAGGCAAAACAUUAUAAGGAGACCGUUGUUAAAAGUCUUCUUCGUUUUUGGGAGAUAAGGACGUGAAGAAAGCGGGUAAGCUUCUGGGCUUUAACCUGGUUUCUCCUGAUGAGAAGACGACGUUGAUCCAAGGGUCUAUAGGAGUUCAUAGACUCAACACUUUCAAACAUCUGCUGAAGGAAGGGUAAAUCUAUGGGCUAAGCAUAUUCGAUGUUACGAGAAGAAACAGCCACUUCAAGCUCACCGACUCACGUGUUGCCAUACACUUCAACAACCAGACCAAGAUUGUGGAGCUGGCAGAGCCGAUCCCAACAUAAAAUUCCAGGCUUCCAAAAUAUGAAUAACUUAUGGUUUUGGCAAAUACAAACGUGAAUUUUCCGGAUGUUUUUGGUGAUGUUUGUGACAUCAAGACCACCUACAAGGAUGAGAAUCAUGCUAUUCAACGUGUUGUGGUUACAGUUCCUAUUGACAGUGAUCAAAACCAUUUAUAACGUAGCACCCAGAGCACUCAACGCUUCAUGGCUACCUUAAAGCUUGAUAGGCCGGCUAUUUCUUAGAUGGUGACAAGGCAAGUGCCACUGACCAGAACACUGGAAGUAAUGACCUCUCCAUGAACCCCACGGGUCCAUCUGCAGCAGAAGCAGCAAGUGAUGAACUCAAUUCUGGCAGGAUCAUUGCAGAGGAACGACAGCUUCCAGGAGCUGGUUGCCCACUCAAGAAGGCCCGCUCAAGAUUACUUACUCAAGUCAUCUACCUUAUAACCCUUCUAUUUCUUACAAGCUUAGUUCACAUUAUGAUUUUUUUACAUUACAUAAUUUUCUUUCAGUUUCUAUGAUUUCAGCUAAAUAACAACUGUGUUCUUCGAUUAUUAAACUCAUGUCUACAUUU